NUGGUUACUGAUACUAUCGCUUGUAANAAAGAGGAAAGUCCGGACACCAAAGAGCAGUAUAGCGGAUAACAUCCGUCCAUGAAAAUGAGGACAAGUGCAACAGAAAGCAUGUACAGUUAGGCUGUAGUGAAAUCAGGUAAACUCUAUACGGUGCAAUGCCAUGUAUAUCAAGUUUUGAUAGUUGCUCGCUAAACUUGAGGGGUAGGCAGCUCGAGUUACAAGGNAACUUGUAACCUAGAUAAAUGAUAGUACUCGNAAGGGAACAGAAUCCGGCUUANGUGUAACCNAAAGC
rnacentral:RNase_P_RNA from 1 species